UAGGGAAUCUUCGGCAAUGGACGAAAGUCUGACCGAGCAACGCCGCGUGAGUGAAGAAGGUUUUCGGAUCGUAAAACUCUGUUGGUAGAGAAGAACGUUGGUGAGAGUGGAAAGCUCAUCAAGUGACGGUAACUACCCAGAAAGGGACGGCUAACUACGUGCCAGCAGCCGCGGUAAUACGUAGGUCCCGAGCGUUGUCCGGAUUUAUUGGGCGUAAAGCGAGCGCAGGUGGUUUAUUAAGUCUGGUGUAAAAAGGCAGUGGCUCAACCAUUGUAUGCAUUGGAAACUGGUAGACUUGAGUGCAGGAGAGGAGAGUGGAAUUCCAUGUGUAGCGGUGAAAUGCGUAGAUAUAUGGAGGAACACCGGUGGCGAAAGCGGCUCUCUGGCCUGUAACUGACACUGAGGCUCGAAAGCGUGGGGAGCAAACAGGAUUAGAUAGCCCUGGUAGUCCACGCCGUAAACGAUGAGUGCUAGAUGUAGGGAGCUAU
rnacentral:rRNA from 1 species